rnacentral:rRNA from 1 species
UACGUAGGGUGCAAGCGUUGUCCGGAAUUAUUGGGCGUAAAGAGCUCGUAGGCGGCUUGUUGCGUCGGCUGUGAAAUCCCGGGGCUUAACUCCGGGCGUGCAGCCGAUACGGGCAGGCUAGAGUCCGGUAGGGGAGACUGGAAUUCCUGGUGUAGCGGUGAAAUGCGCAGAUAUCAGGAGGAACACCGAUGGCGAAGGCAGCUCGCUGGGACGGUACUGACGCUGAGGCGCGAAAGCGUGGGGAGCGAACAGG